GACGAACGCUGGCGGCGCGCCUAACACAUGCAAGUCGAACGAGCGAGAGAGAGCUUGCUUUCUCAAGCGAGUGGCGAACGGGUGAGUAACGCGUGAGGAACCUGCCUCAAAGAGGGGGACAACAGUUGGAAACGUCUGCUAAUACCGCAUAAGCCCACGACCCGGCAUCGGGUAGAGGGAAAAGGAGCAAUCCGCUUUGAGAUGGCCUCGCGUCCGAUUAGCUAGUUGGUGAGGUAACGGCCCACCAAGGCGACGAUCGGUAGCCGGACUGAGAGGUUGUACGGCCACAUUGGGACUGAGACACGGCCCAGACUCCUACGGGAGGCAGCAGUGGGGAAUAUUGCACAAUGGGGGAAACCCUGAUGCAGCGACGCCGCGUGGAGGAAGAAGGUCUUCGGAUUGUAAACUCCUGUUGUUGAGGAAGAUAAUGACGGUACUCAACAAGGAAGUGACGGCUAACUACGUG
rnacentral:rRNA from 1 species